rnacentral:rRNA from 1 species
AACGAACGCUGGCGGCGCGCCUAAUACAUGCAAGUCGAGCGAGAAGACGUAGCAAUACGUUUGUAAAGCGGCGAACGGGUGAGGAAUACAUGGGUAACCUACCCUCGAGUGGGGAAUAACUAGCCGAAAGGUUAGCUAAUACCGCGUACGCUCCUUGGACUUCGGUUCAGGGAGGAAAGCGAUACCGUGGGUAUCGCGCUCUUGGAUGGGCUCAUGUCCUAUCAGCUUGUUGGGAGGUAACGGCUCACCAAGGCUUCGACGGGUAGCUGGUCUGAGAGGACGAUCAGCCACACUGGCACUGCGACACGGGCCAGACUCCUACGGGAGGCAGCAGUAAGGAAUAUUGCGCAAUGGGCGAAAGCCUGACGCAGCGACGCCGCGUGGGGGAUGAAGGUCUUCGGAUUGUAAACCCCUUUCGGGAGGGAAGAUGGAA